ensembl:lncRNA
AUCAUCGACCUUACACAUUAUAAUUUCUAUAAAGAAAUGAUGAGAAAGCACUGUCUAUAAAAGAACAAUCACUACUUGUUUGAUUUGUCUUUAUUUUCUGACUCUGUUGGAUGUUAUGUGUGAUUCAUGUUGGCUGUGUCUCAUGUCAUUCUGGAUUAGAAUAACAUAUUUUUAAUUUAUAAAUUUGACUUCUAUUUGUAAAAUAAGCUUUAAAUUUUAAAUUGUGUUCUUGCUAAAACUGACAUUUAACUACACAGUCUUGCAACUGAUUUCUAAGAAUAGGUUGAUUCUCUUAAUCUGCAAAACCAUGGGUGUGUGAUUCAUCUUUUAUCUCAGGAAUAAUUUUUGUCAUAUGAUAGCUUUCUUUUCUUCCAGUGUGAGUUGGCUAUUCUGAAAACUUUCCACUGAGCUCAAUCACUUUUCAGUGGUGCUGAGGAACUUGAGAUAGACAAUAAAGAUUUUUACUAAGGUACACUGCUUUGACUCCUAAAAUAUUUUGCAGCUGCUGCUUGUUCUUUUAAUCAACCAUGCCGUUUUUUAUGUUUUCCAUGCCCUUCCAACUCUUCCCUGGAACUGUAUGGCCACAUCAAGACUAGUGUUGAAGAAGGAAAGGAAGAGAAUGUCCCCCCAAUUUGGAUCAAUUAAAAUUAGAUUUGUUCAUCUCAAGCUCCAGCGGAUAGCCAACAAGGACCUACUCUAUAGCACAGGGAACUCUGCUCAAUGUUAUGUGGCAGCCUGGAUGGGAGGGAGUUUGGGGGAGAAUGGAUACAUGUAUGUGUAUGACUGAGUCCCUUGGCUGUUUACCUGAAACUGUCACAGCAUUGUUAAUUGGUUAUACUCCAAUACCAAGUAAAAAGAUUAAAAAAAUUAGAUUUGAAUGCUAAGUAGCUUGCCACUCUGUUGUCAUAUCAUUUAGCUUUGUGCUGCCACUUUUCUAGAUACUCUGUACUUUUUCCUCAUUAGAUUAUCCCACUCAGUGGAUAAGUUGGAAAGAUUAUAAUCACUUUUAAAUAAAUCUAUUCAAUUCAGUUUUCCUUUCCUACAUAGUAGUCGAUCCUAUGGGAACUCAGUCCUGACUAUUCAUUGGAAGGAGUGAUGCUGAAGCAGAAGCUCCAACACUGGCCACAAGAUGCGAAGAGCCAACUCAUUAGAAAAGAUACUGGGAAAGAUUGAAGGCAAGAGGAGAACAGGGCGACAGAGAAUGAAAUGAUUGGAUGGCAUCACCAACUCAAUGGACAUGAAUGUGAACAACUUCUGGGAGAUGGUGAAGGACAGAGAAGCCUGGCGUGCUGCAUUUCACGAGUUUGUAGAGUCGGACACAACUGUUUUAACCGUAACAACAACAACUCUCACAAUGGUGUUGAACCUGUUCAUAGUUGAUUCUUUUCUUCCUCUUUUAUAAAAAUACAUCUUUUCCAUUUAUUUGUUCAUUGAUGUAUAGUUGAUUUACAAUAUUAUAUGUUUCAUGUAUAUGGCAUAGUGAUUCACAAUUUUUAAAGGUUAGAUUUCACUUAUAAUUAUUAUAAAACAUCAGCUAUACUGCCUGGACUGUACUAUAUAUCCUUGUAGUCUAUUUAUUUUAUACAUAGUAAUUUGUAUCACUUAAUCCCCUCUCUCUAUCUUACUCCUCUCUUCUUCCCACUUCCCAAGAUCUUAAAAGUUAUUCAAUUUUAGAAUGCUAUUCUUCUCCAGGUUCCACUUGUACAUUCAUGCAUGCAUUCAUUCAUUGAAGAGAUAAUACAAAAAAAAAUCUGCAAUGGUUUAGACAUGGUUAUGGGAGUGUCACUGAACAGAAGUAAAAAG